ensembl:lncRNA
UUGAAUAUGUUGCAUGGGAGGCUCAGGCUUGAAUCUGUUGCAUGGGAGGCUCAGGCUUGAAUGUGUUGCACGGGAGGCUUAGGAUUGAAUGUGUUGCAUGGGAGGCUCAGGCUUGAAUGUUUUGCAGGGGAGGCUCAGGCUUGAAUAUGUUGCAGGGGAGGCACAGGCAUAAAUGUGUUGCAGGAGAGGCUCAGGCUUAAAUGUGUUGCAUGGGAGGCUUAAGAUUGAAUGUGUUGCAUGGGAGGCUCAGGCUUAAAUGUGUUGAAGGGGUGGCUUAGGAUCGAAUGUGCUGCAAGGUAGGCUU